rnacentral:rRNA from 1 species
GGAUAACCUGCCCUAAGGUGGAGCAUAACCCCGGGAAACUGGGGAUAAUACUCCAUAGGUUAGAGAUACUGGAAUGUUCUUUAAUCGAAAGUUCCGGCGCCUUAGGAUGGAUCUGCGGCCGAUUAGGUAGUUGUUGGGGUAACGGCCCAACAAGCCUGUAAUCGGUACGGGUUGUGGGAGCAAGAGCCCGGAGAUGGAAUCUGAGACACGAUUCCAGGCCCUACGGGGCGCAGCAGGCGCGAAAACUUUACAAUGCAGGAAACCGUGAUAAGGGAACCCCGAGUGCCCGUAUACGCGGGCUGUCCGGGUGUAUAAAAAGCAUCUGAAGAAAGGGCCGGGCAAGACCGGUGCCAGCCGCCGCGGUAAUACCGGCGGCUCGAGUGGUGACCACUUUUAUUGGGCUUAAAGCGUUCGUAGCUGGACUCUUAAGUCUCUUGGGAAAUCCCGCGGCUCAACCGUGGGGCGUUUAAGAGAUACUGGGAGUCUAGGAACCGGGAGAGGUAAGAGGUACUUCGGGGGUAGAAGUGAAAUUCUGUAAUCCUCGAGGGACCACCGAUGGCGAAGGCAUCUUACCAGAACGGCUUCGACAGUGAGGAACGAAAGCUGGGGGAGCGAACGGGAUUAGAUACCCCGGUAGUCCCAGCCGUAAACGAUGCGCGUUAGGUGUACUGGUGACCACGAGUCACUGGGGUGCCGAAGGGAAACCGUGAAACGUGCCGCCUGGGAAGUACGGUCGCAAGGCUGAAACU